CCUACGGGAGGCUGCAGUGGGGAAUAUUGGACAAUGGGGGCAACCCUGAUCCAGCCAUGCCGCGUGUGUGAAGAAGGCCCUCGGGUUGUAAAGCACUUUCAGUGAGGAAGAACGCCUGGUGGUUAAUACCCAUCAGGAAAGACAUCACUCACAGAAGAAGCACCGGCUAACUCCGUGCCAGCAGCCGCGGUAAUACGGAGGGUGCGAGCGUUAAUCGGAAUUACUGGGCGUAAAGCGCGCGUAGGUGGCUUGAUAAGCCGGUUGUGAAAGCCCCGGGCUCAACCUGGGAACGGCAUCCGGAACUGUCAAGCUAGAGUGCAGGAGAGGAAGGUAGAAUUCCUGGUGUAGCGGUGAAAUGCGUAGAGAUCGGGAGGAAUACCAGUGGCGAAGGCGGCCUUCUGGACUGACACUGACACUGAGGUGCGAAAGCGUGGGUAGCAAGCAGGAUUAGAUACCCUAGUAGUC
rnacentral:rRNA from 1 species